GACGAACCGUCCAAACGUUAUUCGGAAUCACUGGGCUUAAAGGGUGCGUAGGCGGCGCGGAAAGUUGGGUGUGAAAUCCCUCGGCUCAACCGAGGAACUGCGCCCAAAACUACCGUGCUCGAGGGAGAUAGAGGUGAGCGGCACUUAGGGUGGAGCGGUGAAAUGCGUUGAUAUCCUAAGGAACACCGGUGGCGAAAGCGGCUCACUGGAUCUCUUCUGACGCUGAUGCACGAAAGCUAGGGUAGCGAACGGGAUUAGAUACCCCGGUAGUCCUAGCCGUAAACGAUGAGCACUGGAUUGGAGGGUCCUCCAUAGCCUUCCAGUCGCAACGAAAGCGUUAAGUGCUCCGCCUGGGGAGUAUGGUCGCAAGGCUGAA
rnacentral:rRNA from 1 species